CUCCUUCUUCUCUUCUCCUUCCCCACUUCCCUUUACAGCCCAGGGUUGCUCUCCCCCUCUCUGCCUCCUAGAUGACCCAGGCAGCUGGUGUCAUGAUUCUUGAUGAAAGCCAAAAUGGGUCAUGAGCAGAGAGAGCAGCAGAUCCACCAGCCAAGCUUCCAGGGAGCUUUGUAAUGCGUGCCGUCGAAACGCUGUCCUGUAACCUAAUCUGGGGGAGAUUUGUGGAUGAUUAUGUUUGUGAACGCAUCCUGUCCAGCUAGGAGCAUAUUCCAGGAAGGGAGUGCUCCGCUGCCUGGCCAGCAGGGUGGACCUUGCCGUCACAGCCCAGGGGCUGGAGGCAGGAGGAUCUGACUUCUUCCAGCCUUCCGGGGUGACGUCCGACAAGCCCCGGUCACUCUCGCUCUUUGAGUCCUCCCAGCUGUGAGUGUUGCAGAAGCUUCCUGGUCCGCAGGAUAUGUAUCUUCACCCUGACAUUUGACUCUGCAGCAACAUCCAAGCAAGCAGUUUCCCAUUAAUGGCAAAUCAAAAGAGUUAAUGUCACUGCAAGCAGUGUGCCCUGAUACCAAGGAGUAGAGAUGGUUGCUUUGUUUGACCAAGAAUUAGUGGCCAUUCAACUUACACUCAAGAAAUUUUAAAAGGCUUGGUGCUUGUUUUUCUUUCAGUGCCAUACUCUUUCUCAUUUCUCCUCUGCCCUUGCUCCUUUGUAAACUUUACACUGAUAAACUUUAUCUCAGAGCUUAAUUUUCCUGCUAACUUUGGGGGAGGAAAAGAUAGUAUUUCCAAAACUAAUUUCUCUGACUUCCUAAAUACAUAUUUUAAAACUCACCUGUCCUCAGGAUCAAACAGAUUAACCAUUCUAAAUAUAUUACAUACUCUCCACCUCCAGAAAGGGUACAAUUACGCUUUGGGGAAAAGCAGAAUUUUGGGAGACAAGACAAAAAGUCACCAAGAUUCAGAGGUGCUUUGAGAUGAAAAUAUUGUUUUGUGGAAGUUUCAGUGUGUUGUCCUGGCUUCAGCUAAGCACCACUAUAGCACAGGCUUUAUCUUUUCUCCUCUCAAAAAAACCUGUUGGUUUUUAAGAGGGAGAAGGAAAAGAAAGGGUUGUGCAAACCUGGAGUGUUCAUCAUAAUGGCAUCAUAAAGGCUUUCCAUCAUCCUGUGGAAUUGGAACAAAGUGUGCUGAAGGUAAAGGAUCCUCUUCUCCUGCUUUAAAAUACAAAACAAGCACAAAAUGAAUCAAAGGGACAGUUUUGCUUCAGUGUUUUUCACAUAUUGCAACUAUUUAUUAACAUUUUAUAAUAUCCUAAAUAUAAGUCAGGAACUUUACAGACUGUGGACAUGAAUCCUCAUACUGCUGCCUCAGCUGGAAUUUAUCACAAUGCCUGAUUUACACCAGCUGAAGGUCCCUAGUUUUGGAUGAGGCUCAGAUGUUUCACCUCAACCCUAUGUUUGGCCCUAAGAGCUACUUUGUACAUUUAUAAACUUAUCUAAAUGUGACUGAUGACAUUUCCACAUGCCCAUCAGUACAUGUUUUCCUUCUCUCUUUCAAACCUGCUUAAAGUGAGAGAGACAAAAAUCCAGGAGAAGGGCUGCCUGCCUUUUUUAUCUAGGCUGCCAAGGGGCACAGUCAGGAGAAUGUAGAUGGAGCUCCUCCUCCCACUUUCAGGACAGAGAAUUAACACAGAUCUAGAUGGAGAAGCACAGGAAGGUGAAAAGCUUUUUGUCCUUCCCUCCUUUCCUUAUUCCUCUUCCCUUUUUAGAACAUCUAGUCUCCUUGAACUGAAGGACUGAUGUUUUUAUCUCCAUUUUUUCCUCCACUCCAUCAUGCAAAGAGUUAUUCCAAAAUCACUUGGCAGCUGUAAGACAAGCUAUUUCCUAACCCUCAAAAUAACUUUUGUUUUGAAUAGCUCCCAACUCCUUAAAAAUGCAUCCACAUGUAUGCAUGUUUUGCAUGGGAAAGAAAACUUAUAGAAGUAAAUGUUCAUGGUUAAUGACUGUUCAAGUCCUGUUAUAAUCAUUAUUAAAUUUGGGCUCAUUCUGUGUGGAAUGUUCUAGGUAUUAAUCAGUAUGUAUUUGUGAUGUAAAUUGUGCAAGCACUAUGGAAAGAGGCAGUCCUAAUCCCAAAUUUCUGCCAUACAGUCAGAAAGGGUGAGUUUGUUAGACCCCCAAGUUCGAAACAAGGAAGGGAAAUCUUUCCUUGCUGCAGUCUGAAAAGGCCUUUUAAAUAAUUUUUGGCUACCAGCCACAUAAACAGAAACACCAAGGCUGGCAUACACAAUACAAAAUAAAAUCAUGGGGGUGCAGUUUGCCCAGUUUUGUUUGACAGCCUUUCUUCACCAACUAGCUGAGGGUCAGUGCAUGUUGUUGCACACUUCUGUUACCUUUCAUCUGCUCACAGGCUGCCUGAGCACAGACUUGCCAGCAGUUUUCGUCCUAGCAGUGGUCCAUAGCAAGCUUGGUAACUUCCUUUACACUGUGGUUGCAAGCAAUCCUUGCCACCUUCAUUAAAACAGAGACAAUUUUGGUAUUUCUCUCUGAAAAUUCACUAGAGGCAUUACAGCAGGAGAAAUUAUACCAGUGAAAUAGACCUUGGAAAAGAAAAGAUAUCUGUGCUUGGUGAAAAACAGGGAGUGGCAAAUAAGGCUGGCCUUUUUUUUUGCAUUUAGACAUAAUGUUUCUUGUCUUUUCCAAAACACAAAAGAAGUAUGGAUAACCCUUCCAACACUUCCAUAGUAGGAAGUGUCUCUCUUCUUCAGGGCAUUAAGUGGAGAGAUUUCUUGCUGGAGAAUGAAUGAUGCAA